rnacentral:rRNA from 1 species
GACGAACGCUGGCGGCGUGCUUAACACAUGCAAGUCGAACGGAAAGGCCCUGCUUUUGUGGGGUGCUCGAGUGGCGAACGGGUGAGUAACACGGGAGUAACCUGCCCUUGACUUUGGGAUAACUUCAGGAAACUGGGGCUAAUACCGGAUAGGAGCUCCUGCUGCAUGGUGGGGGUUGGAAAGUUUCGGCGGUUGGGGAUGGACUCGCGGUUUACCAGCUUGUUGGUGGGGUAGUGGCUUACCACGGCUUUGACGGGUAGCCGGCCUGAGAGGGUGGCCGAGCACAUUGGGAAAGAGAAGCAGCCUCGUCUCGUAUGGGAGUCAGCAGCGGGGAAUUUUCCACAAUAGUGGGAAGUCUGAUGCUACAACGCCGCUUGCGAGAUGACGGCCUUGGGGUUGUAAACCCAUUUCGCCUGGGACGAGGAGUAAGUGGCGGUAAUGGGUAAAGAAGCACCGGCUAACUACGUG